rnacentral:rRNA from 1 species
AUGGAGAAUGUUGUUGUGUUGAUUGUUGGCGCUGGGCCAGCAGGCCUUGCAACAGCAGCAUGCCUUAGCCAAUUCUCAAUUCCCUAUCUCAUUGUCGAGCGUGAAAGUUGCAGCGCGUCGCUUUGGCGCAGCCGCGCCUACGAUCGCCUCAACAUGCAUCUUGCAAAGGAGUUCUGUGAGUUGCCACACAUGUCAUACCCACUAAAUGCGCCAACAUACAUACCAAAAACCUUAUUUGUGAAGUACUUGGAUGAUUGUGUUGAGCGUUUCAACAUUCAACCCAAGUAUCUCACUAGUUUGGAGUCAUCCACAUUUGACAAUGGCGAAAAUUGGUCCAUCGCGGCACAUGACAUGGCAAAGAGCACAAUAGUCAGGUUCACAGAAAAGUUUCUUGUUGUGGCAAGUGGUGAGAAUAGUGCAGAGAAUAUUCCAAUGAUCCCCGGACUGCAAAGUUUCCCGGGUGAUGUCAUCCACUCCUCAAGCUACAAGUCAGAAAAGAGCUACUCUGGCAUGAAUGUAUUGGUCGUUGGAUCUGGCAACUCUGGAAUGGAAUUUGCUUAUGACCUUGCGGCCCAUGGUGCCAAUACUUCAAUCAUUAUACGAAGCCCGGUAUGUACACACAUUAUAUAUAUUUUUUGGCCUGGAAACACUAGGGGAUCCCCCCACCCCCACCGUAUGGGCAGUAUAUAUUUUCAGUGGGUACAUAGCAAUUUCUUAUUAUAG